rnacentral:tRNA from 1 species
UUUAACAAAUUAAGGCUUCUUUACAGAAGUGUUUUGAAAGCACUACCCAAGGGUAAAUCCUUAAGGG